rnacentral:rRNA from 1 species
AUGGCAAGAGUUGGAGUUACAAAUAUGGAAAGUUACAUGCGGGGUGUUACAAACACGUCGGGUUGCAAGGUGUUGUUAUUUGUGUGCUGGUGCUGCUUACGUUGUGAUUGCUUGGUUCUCCUACUGGUUCGAUACCUUGGUUUCAUAACUGAGGGAAAUACUUACCGUUGUUGUGCUACAUCAUCCUCUCCUCUUGGGGGAAGUACCGACGUAGUCCUAGCGACACCAUCAAGUAGAAUUUCUGGCACCGUUGCCAGGGAGGAUCUUCAACAUAACCAGGUUCCUAAUCACAAAUCUCAUCUCCUCACAAUUUACAUUAUUUGA